rnacentral:lncRNA from 1 species
CUCUGUGGUGUCUAAUGGGAGCACAGGCCCAGGAGGCUCCCCAUAACCGAGAGGAUGCACACUGCAGCCCACUCCACUUUGCUCCAUCCAGAAGAAUGCAGUGUAUACAUCUCCUGCGUGCCAAGGUAAGCAAUUGCAAAUAUUAUCCACCUGAAAUUAAUGCUUGAAUAAAGAAUGUCAAAAGUUUCUGAAAAGAAAGCAGAGGUUGAAGUUAGUACUAAGAAUGCAAAUAUCAGCACACAGUAUGGCAUUGCAGAGCAAGCAGGGCUUCUAUUAGUGAGCUCUUUGUCACUCAUAUUGUAAGUGAAUAAUAAUAAUUAUAACAGUAAUAGUGAUUAUUGAUUCAAGAUCAAGAAGUUAUUCCUCCCAAACUCAAAACUAGUAAAAAAUAUUAUUUUUUAUCCCAUUUUUCUUUUUCUUUAUGAUAUUACAUAUUGCAUAUAUAACAGAUAAGUUAAUUAGAAUUAACAAUGUAUAUUGUACCUUCAGCUGUAUUAACUAAUAAUACACUAAUUCAGAAGUUUUAUUUUAAAAAAAUGUUGAGCUAAAGAGCCAAUUUUUUCUUUAUAGGUAAAUGAGGUUAUCAAAGAAGUUUGGACCAAUUUUUUUCUCAAAGACUAAAAAGAUAUUUAUUUUUAAAAAAGAAUUCCAUGCCAUUCAUUACCAAUAGCACACUGUAAAAAUUCAACUCUCUGCCUUAUAAGAGAGUUAUUGAAGUCAUCUUACAGAUGGGCAGAAUAAAUCUCUUCUUAUUUAUUUUUGCCAGUAUUAAUUUGUAAGGUACAUGCACAUGGUUUGCUUGAUUCUAACCUGGAAUGGAUGCUCUUCCCUACUUAACUGAAAUUUGGGGCAAUGUAGAUAGCAGGAACAGGCAAGUCUAAAUCUGAGUUAUGCAGUGGGAUUGGGGCCAAUAGGCAGAUAUUAUUUAAUUUUCCAAUGUCAUGAGAAAUUAAGAGGUGAAAGCACUAUGUGUGUGGAAAAGCUGACUUUAGCUACUUAAAGAUUUUCUAAAAAACCUAAACAUUUUUCUUAUUUUAUAGCUAAAAAUAUUCUUGAGAUCAUGGGAAUAUACUUAAGCUUUAAACUAAUGUAGUGUUUAGUUAACAAGAUAGGCCAUUCAUUAUUGAUCCUGUUUUUAUCUUUAUCUUUGACAAAUUGACUUCUGCCAUAUUCUUUUUUAGUUUACUUUCUCUUUCGUCAGGUCUGACUAGCAUUGGGAAGAACAUUAGAUUCUCUGAGGCUUUUGGGUAUUUCCUAUCACUGAACAUGUGUAGGGUUUUUUGUUUGGUUUUGUUUUUGCCUAAGCAGCACCUUUUCACUCUUCCUCUGGGAAAAAAAAAUUCCUCUUUAAUUUUGGAAACUUCCUUUCCCAUUAUAGGAAGAGCUGUCAAUCACACAUCCUUGAAACCUCCGUCAAUGUCAGGGCCAAGGACUUGAGGUGGUGCUUGGAUUCAGGCCAGGAUUUCUGUCAAGGACAUCAAGAAAAAAGAGCUCCUCCGGGUUUGCCGGUCUCUGACUGUAAGGACUAAGGGGACUUGGAGAUUUGUGGCCACCUUUACUCCACAGAAAGAGGGCUUGCCCAGAAAGGAAACCAAGACAAGGCAAGUCAGAUAAGGAGGAAAGGUCCCAAUGUUUGAACCUCUGCUCUGUCCAUGCCUAGUGGGGCCACACUGCAGGACUCUAUUUUUCCAGCAAUUGAAUUUCCUAUUCUUGUUUGAGCUAGGUUUGUGUCAGUGUGUGUCACUUGUUACUAAAACUUUCUGAGUCAGGCACCUAAAGGGAAAACCAUAUGCACCUAUGGAUUGACCUACAAAAAUGGCAAUUUCUUACGGUCUAACCCAAUAUAAUAGGAAAUUCAGGCAGUCAGAGCCUCUGAUGUCCCAUUUCCCAUAGCUCUGUGUUCUAGGUCUUUUGAGUUUUAGUUUCCUCAUAUUGAAAAGUUGAUGAAGACAAAGCACGUGGACAUCUGUACACUAGCUCUUUCAACAUGUGACACUCAUUACUAACAGUUACGGUUGGUGUCCCCCCAAAGCACAUAUGUGAGAAAAUGCAAGAAUAUUUGAAGAUAAAAUUAUUAAUGUAACACAAACAGUGGAUUAAUCCACUUGAGUGAAUUAACUGGGUGUUAACUGUAGGCAGGUAGGGCAUGGCUAGGUCACUGGAGGUGUGCCUUUGGGGUUUAUAUUUUGUCCCCGGUGAGUGGAGCCUGCUCUCUGCUUUCUGUUUGCCAUAUCCUGAGCUUUCUUUCUC